UAAGACAGAGGUGGCAAGCGUUGUUCGGAGUUACUGGGCGUAAAGCGCACGUAGGCGGUUCGGUCAGGCCUGUGUAAAAUCCCACUGCUCAACGGUGGAAUGACGCAGGCUACUGCCGAGCUAGAGAUUGGGAGAGGAGAGUGGAAUUCCCGGUGUAGCGGUGAAAUGCGUAGAUAUCGGGAGGAAGGCCGGUGGCGAAGGCGGCUCUCUGGACCGUUACUGACGCUGAGGUGCGAAAGCUAGGGGAGCAAACGGGAUUAGAUACCCCGGUAGUCCUAGCCGUAAACGAUGGGCACUAGGUGUUGGGGGUAUCAACCCCUCCAGCGCCGGAGCUAACGCAUUAAGUGCCCCGCCUGGGGAGUACGGUCGCAAGGCUG
rnacentral:rRNA from 1 species